GACGAACGCUGGCGGCGUGCUUAACACAUGCAAGUCGAACGGAGCGAAUGAAAGCUUGCUUUUAUGAGCUUAGUGGCAAACGGGUGAGUAACACGUAGACAACCUGCCGACAGGAUGGGGACUACAUUCCGAAAGGAAUGCUAAUACCGAAUGAAGCGGAGGAGAGGCAUCUCUCCUCCGUGAAAGAUGGCCUCUAUUUAUAAGCUAUCACCUGUCGAUGGGUCUGCGUCUGAUUAGCUAGUUGGUGAGGUAACGGCUCACCAAGGCGACGAUCAGUAGCCGGUCUGAGAGGAUGAACGGCCACAUUGGGACUGAGACACGGCCCAGACUCCUACGGGAGGCAGCAGUGGGGAAUCUUCCGCAAUGGGCGCAAGCCUGACGGAGCAACGCCGCGUGAGUGAAGAAGGUCUUCGGAUCGUAAAGCUCUGUUGAUGGGGACGAACGUGCGAAGGGUGAAUAAUCCUUUGCAAUGACGGUACCUAUCGAGGAAGCC
rnacentral:rRNA from 1 species